rnacentral:rRNA from 1 species
GAUGAACGCUGGCGGCGUGCCUAAUACAUGCAAGUCGAGCGAAUGGAUUGAGAGCUUGCUCUUAUGAAGUUAGCGGCGGACGGGUGAGUAACACGUGGGUAACCUGCCCAUAAGACUGGGAUAACUCCGGGAAACCGGGGCUAAUACCGGAUAACAUUUUGAACCGCAUGGUUCGAAAUUGAAAGGCGGCUUCGGCUGUCACUUAUGGAUGGACCCGCGUCGCAUUAGCUAGUUGGUGAGGUAACGGCUCACCAAGGCAACGAUGCGUAGCCGACCUGAGAGGGUGGUCGGCCACACUGGGACUGAGACACGGCCCAGCCUCCUACGGGAGGCAGCAGUAGGGAAUCUUCCGCAAUGGACGAAAGUCUGACGGAGCAACGCCGCGUGAGUGAUGAAGGCUUUCGGGUCGUAAAACUCUGUUGUUAGGGAAGAACAAGUGCUAGUUGAAUAAGCUGGCACCUUGACGGUACCUAACCAGAAAGCCACGGCUAACUACGUGCCAGCCGCCGCCGUAA